rnacentral:rRNA from 1 species
UACAGAGGGUGCGAGCGUUAAUCGGAAUUACUGGGCGUAAAGCGUGCGUAGACGGUUAUUUAAGUCGGAUGUGAAAGCCCCGGGCUCAACCUGGGAAUUGCAUUCGAGACUGAAUAGCUAGGGUGCGGUAGAGGGAAGCGGAAUUUCCGGUGUAGCGGUGAAAUGCGUAGAUAUCGGAAGGAACAUCAGUGGCGAAGGCGGCCUGCUGGGCAGUUUAGCUGACACUGAGGCGCGACAGCGUGGGGAGCAAACAGG